rnacentral:rRNA from 1 species
UGGGUAACCUGCCUCAAAGAGGGGAAUAGCCUCCCGAAAGGGAGAUUAAUACCGCAUAAUAUGUUUAAGUCGCAUGACUUUAACAUCAAAGGAUUUUUCUUUUAGAAACUUCCACUUUGAGAUGGACCCGCGGCGCAUUAGCUAGUUGGUGAGGUAACGGCUCACCAAGGCAACGAUGCGUAGCCGACCUGAGAGGGUGAUCGGCCACAUUGGAACUGAGACACGGCCAGACUCCUAGG